GGAAUUUUCCGCAAUGGGCGAAAGCCUGACGGAGCAACGCCGCGUGAGGGAUGAAGGCCUCUGGGCUGUGAACCUCUUUUAUCAAGGAAGAAGAUCUGACGGUACUUGAUGAAUAAGCCACGGCUAAUUCCGUGCCAGCAGCCGCGGUAAUACGGGAGUGGCAAGCGUUAUCCGGAAUUAUUGGGCGUAAAGCGUCCGCAGGCGGUCUUGUAAGUCUGUCGUUAAAGCGUGGAGCUUAACUCCAUUUAAGCGAUGGAAACUGCAAGACUAGAGUGUGGUAGGGGCAGAGGGAAUUCCCGGUGUAGCGGUGAAAUGCGUAGAUAUCGGGAAGAACACCAGUGGCGAAGGCGCUCUGCUGGGCCAUAACUGACGCUCAUGGACGAAAGCCAGGGGAGCGAAAGGGAUUAGAUACCCCUGUAGUCCUGGCCGUAAACGAUGAACACUAGGUGUCGGGGGAAUCGACCCCCUCGGUGUCGUAGCCAACGCGUUAAGUGUUCCGCCUGGGGAGUACGCACGCAAGUGUGAAACUCAAAUGAAUUGACGGA
rnacentral:rRNA from 1 species